rnacentral:misc_RNA from 1 species
GCCAAACACUCGAAAGAAGGAGUGCGUGACCACGGUCGCGAAAGUCUAACGAACGCGUGCGUAGUGGGGAUAUUGAGAGGUGAUAAAAAGAAACGAAAUGGAUUGAGAGAUGAGUGGUGACCAAGAAGUGUGAUUGCAGUCGAAAUCGAGAAACGCAACCAUUUCCUCACCAAAUGGACAUUUUGCAAAAUUACCCAGUGGCCUUCGUUCGCGGAAAGUUGUAUGGCUUCUUCCGAUAUUACGAAGUUAUUGUGACAUCCGAGACCAUCGCACCGCUUCAGAGACCACGUCACACACCGCGGGCAAGAUGGAUGCCA